AAGCCCCCCCCAGGCCCUGCCCAGGGUCUCGUCGUUCACCUCGUUCCCCAGGUCCCCACAGAAGAUCCUAAAGUCGUCUGGGGACACCCCAAAGGUCAUGGGGACACCCCAAAGGUCAUGGGGACACCCCAAAGGUCACCAGAGACUCCAAAGGUCAUGGGGACACCCCAAAGGUCAUGGGGACACCCCAAAGGUCACCAGAGACCCCAAAGGUCAUGGGGACACCCCAAGGGUCAUGGGGACACCCCAAGGGUCAGGGGGACACCCCAAAGGUCCUGGGGACACCCCAAAGUCACCCCAGAGUCACCCUUGGGUUAUGGGGACACCCCAAAGGUCACCAGAGACCCCAAAGUCACCCCCAGUUCCAUCCCAGUCCCCCCAGUUCUCUCCCAGUUCUCCCAAUCCCCUCCCAGUGCUCCCAGUGCCCUCCCAGUGCCCUCCCAGUGCUCCCAGUGCCCUCCCAGUGCCCUCCCAGUACCCUCCCAGUGACCCCCCAGUGCUCCCAGUGCAGGGAUGGGGUUGGGCAGGUGCUGCCUGUGGAGUGAACUGGUGCAAACUGGUGCAAACUGGUGCAAACUGGUGACUCGCUCUUCCCC
rnacentral:lncRNA from 1 species